UUGAACGCUGGCGGCAGGCCUAACACAUGCAAGUCGAGCGGAUGAAGGGAGCUUGCUCCUGGAUUCAGCGGCGGACGGGUGAGUAAUGCCUAGGAAUCUGCCUGGUAGUGGGGGAUAACGUCCGGAAACGGGCGCUAAUACCGCAUACGUCCUGAGGGAGAAAGUGGGGGAUCUUCGGACCUCACGCUAUCAGAUGAGCCUAGGUCGGAUUAGCUAGUUGGUGGGGUAAAGGCCUACCAAGGCGACGAUCCGUAACUGGUCUGAGAGGAUGAUCAGUCACACUGGAACUGAGACACGGUCCAGACCCCUACGGGAGGCAGCAGUGGGGAAUAUUGGACAAUGGGCGAAAGCCUGAUCCAGCCAUGCCGCGUGUGUGAAGAAGGUCUUCGGAUUGUAAAGCACUUUAAGUUGGGAGGAAGGGCAGUAAGUUAAUACCUUGCUGUUUUGACGUUACCAACAGAAUGAGCACCGGCUAACUUCGUG
rnacentral:rRNA from 1 species